UUAGAUAAAUACAAGUAAUUUGGAGAUGGAGCAAUAUGUGGCCCUCGUUUAUGAUUCUGGACACCACAUUUUGGUUUUGAGUUGCCCGAAGCAGUCACUGAACACUAUUUUUGUUUUGUUCUGAUCUCGACAUUGUCGAUAGAGUCCAACUCAUCACUGCAUCUUCUUUUAUGGACUAUUUUUAUAAAAUACAACUUAUCAAGAAAUGGAGUAAUAUGUAGUUAUGGAUCACCACAUU